CGGGUGAAGGAACUAGGCAAAAUGGUGCCGUAACUUCGGGAGAAGGCACGCUGAUAUGUAGGUGAAGCGACUUGCUCGUGGAGCUGAAAUCAGUCGAAGAUACCAGCUGGCUGCAACUGUUUAUUAAAAACACAGCACUGUGCAAACACGAAAGUGGACGUAUACGGUGUGACGCCUGCCCGGUGCCGGAAGGUUAAUUGAUGGGGUCAGCGCAAGCGAAGCUCUUGAUCGAAGCCCCGGUAAACGGCGGCCGUAACUAUAACGGUCCUAAGGUAGCGAAAUUCCUUGUCGGGUAAGUUCCGACCUGCACGAAUGGCGUAAUGAUGGCCAGGCUGUCUCCACCCGAGACUCAGUGAAAUUGAACUCGCUGUGAAGAUGCAGUGUACCCGCGGCAAGACGGAAAGACCCCGUGAACCUUUACUAUAGCUUGACACUGAACAUUGAGCCUUGAUGUGUAGGAUAGGUGGGAGGCUUUGAAGUGUGGACGCCAGUCUGCAUGGAGCCGACCUUGAAAUACCACCCUUUAAUGUUUGAUGUUCUAACGUGGACCCGUGAUCCGGGUUGCGGACAGUGUCUGGUGGGUAGUUUGACUGGGGCGGUCUCCUCCUAAAGAGUAACGGAGGAGCACGAAGGUUGGCUAAUCCUGGUCGGACAUCAGGAGGUUAGUGCAAUGGCAUAAGCCAGCUUGACUGCGAGCGUGACGGCGCGAGCAGGUGCGAAAGCAGGUCAUAGUGAUCCGGUGGUUCUGAAUGGAAGGGCCAUCGCUCAACGGAUAAAAGGUACUCCGGGGAUAACAGGCUGAUACCGCCCAAGAGUUCAUAUCGACGGCGGUGUUUGGCACCUCGAUGUCGGCUCAUCACAUCCUGGGGCUGAAGUAGGUCCCAAGGGUAUGGCUGUUCGCCAUUUAAAGUGGUACGCGAGCUGGGUUUAGAACGUCGUGAGACAGUUCGGUCCCUAUCUGCCGUGGGCGCUGGAGAACUGAGGGGGGCUGCUCCUAGUACGAGAGGACCGGAGUGGACGCAUCACUGGUGUUCGGGUUGUCAUGCCAAUGGCACUGCCCGGUAGCUAAAUGCGGAAGAGAUAAGUGCUGAAAGCAUCUAAGCACGAAACUUGCCCCGAGAUGAGUUCUCCCUGAGACUAUAAGUCUCCUGAAGGAACGUUGAAGACGACGACGUUGAUAGGCCGGGUGUGUAAGCGCAGCGAUGCGUUGAGCUAACCGGUACUAAUGAACCGUGAGGCUUAACCUUACAAC
rnacentral:rRNA from 1 species